rnacentral:rRNA from 1 species
AGUGGACGCUGGCGGUAGGCCUAACACAUGCAAGUCGAACGGCAGCACAGUAAGAGCUUGCUCUUACGGGUGGCGAGUGGCGGACGGGUGAGGAAUACAUCGGAAUCUACUUUUUCGUGGGGGAUAACGUAGGGAAACUUACGCUAAUACCGCAUACGACCUACGGGUGAAAGUAGGGGAUCUUCGGACCUUGCGCGAUUGAAUGAGCCGAUGUCGGAUUAGCUAGUUGGCGGGGUAAAGGCCCACCAAGGCGACGAUCCGUAGCUGGUCUGAGAGGAUGAUCAGCCACACUGGAACUGAGACACGGUCCAGACUCCUACGGGAGGCAGCAGUGGGGAAUAUUGGACAAUGGGCGCAAGCCUGAUCCAGCCAUACCGCGUGGGUGAAGAAGGCCUUCGGGUUGUAAAGCCCUUUUGUUGGGAAAGAAAAGCAGCAGGUUAAUACCCCGCUGUUCUGACGGUACCCAAAGAAUAAGCACCGGCUAACUUCGUG